rnacentral:rRNA from 1 species
AGGGUGCUCGAAAGAGAGCCGUAACACAGGUGCUGCAUGGCUGUCGUCAGCUCGUGUCGUGAGAUGUUGGGUUAAGUCCCGCAACGAGCGCAACCCUUGUCAUUAGUUGCUACGAAAGGGCACUCUAAUGAGACUGCCGGUGACAAACCGGAGGAAGGUGGGAUGACGUCAAGUCCUCAUGGCCCUUAUAGGUGGGGCUACACACGUCAUACAAUGGCUGGUACAAAGGGUUGCCAACCCGCGAGGGGGAGCCAAUCCCAUAAAGCCAGUCGUAGUCCGGAUCGCAGUCUGCAACUCGACUGCGUGAAGUCGGAAUCGCUAGUAAUCGUGGAUCAGCAUGUCACGGUGAAUACGUUCCCGGGUCUU